rnacentral:rRNA from 1 species
AUUGAACGCUGGCGGCAUGCCUUACACAUGCAAGUCGAACGGCAGCACGGACUUCGGUCUGGUGGCGACCGGCGCACGGGUGAGUAACACGUGUGCAACCAACCCCGUACCGGGAGAUAACCCGCGGAAACGUGGACUAACAUCCCAUGACACCUUUUCCCCGCAUGGGGGAGAGUUUAAAACCCCGGUGGUACGGGACGGGCACGCGCGACAUUAGGUAGUUGGCGGGGUAAGGGCCCACCAAGCCGACGAUGUCUAGGGGUUCUGAGAGGAAGGUCCCCCACACUGGAACUGAGACACGGUCCAG